GAAAUUAUAACAAUAAAAUCGUUAUUCUAAUAGAAUACUAACAAUGCUCUAAUUAGACCAUAAUAAUGCUAAGCAAGCUUUAAUCAAAUUCAAAGAAACCUCAAAGAAAUUUCAAAGAAAUAAUAAAAAAAUCUUAAAGAAAUAUUAGAAUGAUUACAAAUAUCUCUCAAAUAUAUCUCAAUUCAAUCUUAAUUUAAUCCUAGUUAAAAUCCUAUUAGACUUUAUUCAAACUUUAGGCCAAAUCUAAUUAAAUUUUAAACCCUAAAUAAAUCCUAAUAAAAUUCUAAAUCCUAAACCAAAACCUAAAGAAAUCCUAAACCAAACCCUAACCAAACUUCAAUCAAAUCUUAGUAAUUUCUACAAUAGAUUUAAACCUCAAUAACUAAUGAAUGAACUGUUGAUCUUAAUUCAAAUUUUUCAUAUUUCUUAAAAACUAAGUUGAAAACAUGUACAAAAAGUUUGAAAAGGAUCGGAAUUACUAAAUAGACGAUAAUCCCAAAAACGUGCUCGAGUAUUGGCAAGCCUCCUUUUCCAACCUUGAUGCCAAUCUUCCAGAGCCAAUAUCUCUCUUUUUCACCGUUUCAUUGAUUUCAAAAUUCUCAUACACAUAAAAAAAUAAGUAUAGUAUUCUCUUACACAAAUUUCACUCCAAUCCAACUAGUAGAUUGCAAUAAAUCUUGAAAACCCUCACUAGACCUAAAAUUCUACUUUCUGAGAUCUUCACUCACUUAAACUUCAAUAAUCCUCAAUUCAAUCAUUAGAUCAAGCUCAAA
rnacentral:lncRNA from 1 species